rnacentral:rRNA from 1 species
AGAGUUUGAUCAUGGCUCAGGAUGAACGCUGGCGGCGUGCCUAACACAUGCAAGUCGAGCGAUCUUCUUCGGAAGAGAGCGGCGGACGGGUGAGUAACGCGUGGGUAACCUGCCUUAUACACAUGGAUAACAUACCGAAAGGUAUGCUAAUACAAGAUGAUAUAAGAGAUUCGCAUGGAUUUCUUAUCAAAGCUCCGGCGGUAUGAGAUGGACCCGCGUCUGAUUAGCUAGUUGGUAAGGUAACGGCUUACCAAGGCGACGAUCAGUAGCCGACCUGAGAGGGUGAUCGGCCACAUUGGAACUGAGACACGGUCCAAACUCCUACGGGAGGCAGCAGUGGGGAAUAUUGCACAAUGGGCGAAAGCCUGAUGCAGCAACGCCGCGUGAGCGAUGAAGGCCUUCGGGUCGUAAAGCUCUGUCCUCAAGGAAGAUAAUGACGGUACUUGAGGAGGAAGCCCCGGCUAACUACGUGCCAGCAGCCGCGGUAAUACGUAGGGGGCUAGCGUUAUCCGGAUUUACUGGGCGUAAAGGGUGCGUAGGUGGUUUCUUAAGUCAGGAGUGAAAGGCUACGGCUCAACCGUAGUAAGCUCUUGAAACUGGGAAACUUGAGUACAGGAGAGGAAAGUGGAAUUCCUAGUGUAGCGGUGAAAUGCGUAGAUAUUAGGAGGAACACCAGUAGCGAAGGCGGCUUUCUGGACUGUAACUGACACUGAGGCACGAAAGCGUGGGGAGCAAACAGGAUUAGAUACCCUGGUAGUCCACGCCGUAAACGAUGAGUACUAGGUGUCGGGGGUUACCCCCCUCGGUGCCGCAGCU